UGGUAGAUGCAACCUGAUAAUUAAUUCCCCUACCUGACUAACACUCAUUGGGGAAUUUUUUU
rnacentral:sRNA from 1 species